AAGAAGUUAGUUUAUAAAAACAAUUAUUUGUCAAAUAAUAAAAACAAAAAAAUUACAUGUACUUCUUG
rnacentral:tRNA from 1 species